AUUGAACGCUGGCGGCAGGCCUAACACAUGCAAGUCGAGCGGAGCGGCGGACGGGGGAGUAAUGCCUAGGAAUCUGCCUGGUAGUGGGGGAUACCGUACGGAAACGGGCGCUAAUACCGCAUACUAUCAGAUGAGCUUAGGUCGUCGUAGCUAGGUGGUGGGGUAAUGGCCUACAAAGGCGACGAUCCUUAACGGGUCUGAGAGGAUGAUCAGUCACACUGGAACUGAGACACGGUCCAGACUCCUACGGGAGGCAGCAGUGGGGAAUAUUGGGCAAUGUGCGAAAGCCUGAUCCAGCCAUGCCGCGUGAGUGAAGAAGGUUUUCGGAUCUUAAAGCACUUUAAGUUGGGAGGCGUUACCAACAGAAUAAGCACCGGCUAACUACGUGCCAGCAGCCGCGGUAAUUC
rnacentral:rRNA from 1 species